rnacentral:rRNA from 1 species
GAUGAACGCUGGCGGCGUGCUUAACACAUUCAAGUCGUACGAACUGAUUUUGAAGCUUGCUUCGGAAGAAAGUUAGUGGCGGACGGGUGAGUAACGCGUGAGCAACCUGCCUUUGUGAGGGGGAUAACACAGGGGAAACUUGUGCUAAUACCGCAUGACGCAUGAGGAAGACAUCUUUUUCAUGUUAAAGGAGCAAUCCGCACAAAGAUGGGCUCGCGUCUGAUUAGAUAGUUGGUGGGGUAACGGCUCACCAAGUCGACGAUCAGUAGCCGGACUGAGAGGUCGAACGGCCACAUUGGAACUGAGAAACGGUCCAGACUCCUACGGGAGCAGCAGUGGGGAAUAUUGGGCAAUGGGCAAAGCCUGACCCAGCGACGCCGCGUGAGGGAAGAA